rnacentral:rRNA from 1 species
UUAAAUUGAAGAGUUUGAUCAUGGCUCAGAUUGAACGCUGGCGGCAGGCCUAACACAUGCAAGUCGAACGGUAACAGGAAGCAGCUUGCUGCUUUGCUGACGAGUGGCGGACGGGUGAGUAAUGUCUGGGAAACUGCCUGAUGGAGGGGGAUAACUACUGGAAACGGUGGCUAAUACCGCAUAACGUCGCAAGACCAAAG